rnacentral:tRNA from 1 species
GCCCCGGUCGUAUAGCCAGGUCAAGUAUACCGGCCUUUCGAGCCGGGGACCCGGGUUCAAAUCCCGGCCGGGGCACCA